AGCUCUGGGGUGUUUACAUGUUAGAUUGCAAAUCUAAAGUAGUAGGGUAUUACCCUACCGGGGCUU
rnacentral:tRNA from 1 species